UAGGUCCAUGAUGAAUACUAUGGGAAUCUGAAACAGUAUAUUUUGAUUACAUCUAAAUGGAUCUCUGAGAUCUGU
rnacentral:snoRNA from 1 species